rnacentral:rRNA from 1 species
CUAUUUUUUUUUUUUAAAAAAAUUAAACAAAAAGAAGCCACCGCCUUGGGGGGCUGUUCCCACAAGGUCGACCUGCAGGAGGGCCGCCCUAGUAAUUUUUUUUUAUUUGAUGCUGCUGAAGAAUCAUCAUUUUUUUAUACAGCAGAAUAGGGAGGAUGGAGGAUUUUCCCCUCCCAAUACUGCCUGUAUUACUCCCUCCUUUUUUAUCAUAUUAUUAUUUCCGCAGGCUUCUCUGCCGAGUGAAGACAAUAAUUAUCUAUUAAAUUAUCAAUCAUCAUCUGAAAAAAAAAAAUAAUAACAACUACCAUCAACGGAUCUCCUCGUUCUUCCAUCGAUGAAGAAGGCAGCAAAAUACUAUAAGUAGUGUGAUUAGCAGAAGUCAGCGGAGCAUCGAAGCUUCGUUGAAACAUCAUGCCGCCUGGUGUUCUACCAUGCAUCACGGCUGGAGCAUCAUCUUUUGCUCCUUCCUUCUCUUGGUGUUGGGUGUUGUUCCUGAGGGGGUCCCCUUAAAGAAAUUGGCAGCCAGCAUUGUUUUUUUAUGCACAGCAGAACUAGCGAUGCAACACUAUUCUCCAGCUUCCACAACACUUUUUUUCAACUUUUGACCUCGGAUCAGGUAGGGAUACCCGCUGAACUUAAGCAUAUCAAUAAGCGGAGGA